rnacentral:ncRNA from 1 species
AUGUGACGACGAGGAAACCGGUGCAUAUUCCGGUGCGGUCGCGCCACUGUGACCAGCGUUCGACGCUGGAAGUCAGACCUUCUCGUCACAU